GAUGAAGAACGUAGCGAAAUGCGAUAAGUAAUGUGAAUUGCAGAAUUCAGCGAAUCAUCGAAUCUUUGAACGCACCUUGCGCCUUUUGGUAUUCCGAAAGGCACACCUGUUUGAGCGUCAUGAAUACCUCAAUCUCCAUCUUUUCUUCGGAUUGAUGGGUGACUUGGAUGUUGAGCCCUGCUGGUAUGCUAUAUCAGCUGGCUUUAAACUUAUUAGCCGGCUCUGUACUGGAUCGGUUUGACUCGACGUGAUAAUAUUAUCGUUGAGGAUGCAUGUCUCAUGCAGCCGGAAAGUAUCAAAGCAGCUUCUAGCUUGCCUUUAGUGCACUUUUACAUUUUAGACCUCAGAUCAGGUGGGACUACCCGCUGAACUUAAGCAUAUCAAUAAGCGGAGGA
rnacentral:misc_RNA from 1 species